UGGGGAAUUUUGGACAAUGGGCGAAAGCCUGAUCCAGCAAUGCCGCGUGUGUGAAGAAGGCCUUCGGGUUGUAAAGCACUUUUGUCCGGAAAGAAAUCCUUGGCUCUAAUACAGUCGGGGGAUGACGGUACCGGAAGAAUAAGCACCGGCUAACUACGUGCCAGCAGCCGCGGUAAUACGUAGGGUGCAAGCGUUAAUCGGAAUUACUGGGCGUAAAGCGUGCGCAGGCGGUUUGCUAAGACCGAUGUGAAAUCCCCGGGCUCAACCUGGGAACUGCAUUGGUGACUGGCAGGCUAGAGUAUGGCAGAGGGGGGUAGAAUUCCACGUGUAGCAGUGAAAUGCGUAGAGAUGUGGAGGAAUACCGAUGGCGAAGGCAGCCCCCUGGGCCAAUACUGACGCUCAUGCACGAAAGCGUGGGGAGCAAACAGGAUUAGAUACCCUGGUAGUCCACGCCCUAAACGAUGUCAACUAGUUGUUGGGGGAUUCAUUUCCUUAGUAACGUAGCUAACGCGUGAAGUUGACCGCCUGGGGGAGUACGGUCGCAAGAUUAAAACUUAAAGGAAUUGACGGGGUCAUAGCUGUUUCCU
rnacentral:rRNA from 1 species